CCCAUCGGGCCCCUUGGGGGGCAGCACGCGACGAUUGCUCCCCGGAGGGCGAGUCAUCGAGUUUGGUUUCGCGGUCCUUGCACUGGUGAGAGGCGGUGCUCAGACCCAGACGUAAGAGCGCCACGGAAACAGCGAGCACCUGAUGACGGUCCCCAUGGAACGAGGGCAGCAGAGGUCAAAGCUGCUGUGGAGGCUAAAGGGGAGGGGCUCGCACCGCGAGGUUUCACAGGGAGGGCCCGGGAUGCAGGGGAUUCCUGGGGACCUCGUCUGCUUCAGCAGCUUCAGACCAAAGGACAAGAUGGGAAGAGCCCUCUGAGAUGAUAUUUUCACAUUUUUAAAAUUCUUUCUCCUUCUUGAAUGAACGCCAUACUGGACAGCAAGGAGGUGCCCACACUCACCUGUGUGGACAGCCCCGAUGUUCUGCCUGAGGAGCACAGAUGAAAACCACAACUUCUCGACAGUCUGCCUAGUGAGCUGCGGCCAAGUCAAGCCUCCUUGCCCCUGUGUCUCUCCAAGGAAGAGAUAUCAGGUGCCAGUGACCCAGGGAAGCUUCCAUUUGUGGAGCCCCUUCUUCAAAACUCGGCCCCAGUCCUCAUAACAGCAUCCUUGGGGGGAAGGUUGAUGCAGCAGGGAGAGAAACAGGACCCAUGAGCACCGUGUACCUAGGAUUCAGGAACUUCACCUGCUCUGAAGUAUGUUAAUUUACCCUUCCUCUCUCCCCUCACUUCCCUCCGUGUGACUUAGGUUGAGUUUAAUAAACUGUGUGAUUCAAGCAUCUGAA